GGGAACUGGAGUGCACAGGCGCUAGAACUAGCCAGCUGCUUCAGUGCCAGAAGGGGCAGACUCCACUCACUCUGUCCCACUGUGUCCCACCCCUUGCAGGAAGGUGAGUACAGCUGCCCACAGCCACUAAAAAAUGGCUGACCAAAAAACAAGAGGAAUAACUGGGAAUGAGAUAUCCAUAAGAGGCAUUGAAAAGCUCUGACAUAUUCCUGGGAAUCCAGAAGACCAAUAUACAAGCAGGGCUUGUGCAUGUGCCCAGAAAAGACCUCAGAAGGCCCUUAUCUCUUAACUCUGGAUGACUUUGAGGCUCUGUGCAGGCAGGAAGUGUGAAGGUAAGGCAGAAUUGUAAACUGCCUGCUGGAGCACUGAAGGUAUAUCCCAGCACACACACAGAGCCCCCUCACAAAUGCUGGGAGACUUAUUGGCUCAAGGUGUCUAAGAAAAUCUAUGCCCAAUCAUUAGAUGACCAUUAAAGUAACUGAACAGAGACUUCAGUAGUGGCAAACAAUAAAAAAUAAAGACUUUACAGAAUUGUCAAGGAAGUCAUUGAACAACAACAACAAAAAGCAGCAGCAGCAACAGCAACAAAUGUUGUGAAGGGAGAUGGGGAGAAGGUCUGCUUUCUGGAGUUACCACAUUCUAUUAUUUUAAAUGACCACCUUUCAACAAAAGAUUACAAGACGUGCAGAGAAACAGGAAAGUAUGGCCUAUAAACAGGUGAAAAAAAAGCAGCUAAUAGAAACCAUCCCUAGAGAAGCCUAGACAUUGGAUUUGCUAAAGAAAGAUUUUCAAUAAGCUUUUGUAAAUAUGUUCAAUG
rnacentral:lncRNA from 1 species